rnacentral:rRNA from 1 species
AUACGUAGGGGGCGAGCGUUGUCCGGAAUGAUUGGGCGUAAAGGGCGCGUAGGCGGCUUUGCAAGUCAGUAGUGGAAGUCCAUUUUUCAAGGAUGGAAGUGCUACAGAAACUGCGGAGCUUGAGUGCAGGAGAGGUUAUCGGAAUUCCCAGUGUAGCGGUGAAAUGCGUAGAGAUUGGGAGGAACACCAGUGGCGAAGGCGACUUACUGGGCCGUAACUGACGCUGAGGCGCGAAAGCGUGGGGAGCGAACAGGAUUAGAUACCCUGGUAGUCCACACUGUAAACGAUGAAUGCUAGGUGUAGGGGGCCUGACCCCUUCUGUGCCGCAGCUAACGCAAUAAGCAAUCCACCUGGGGAGUACGGCCGCAAGGCUGAAACUCAAAGGAAUUGGCGGGG